GAGUUUGAUCCUGGCUCAGAUUGAACGCUGGCGGCAGGCCUAACACAUGCAAGUCGAGCGGUAGAGAGAAGCUUGCUUCUCUUGAGAGCGGCGGACGGGUGAGUAAUGCCUAGGGAUCUGCCUGGUAGUGGGGGAUAACCGUUCGGAAACGGACGCUAAUACCGCAUACAUCCUACGGGAGAAAGCAGGGGACCUUCGGGCCUUGCGCUAUCAGAUGAGCCUAGGUCGGAUUAGCUAGUUGGUAGGGUAAAGCCUACCCAAGGCAUCGAUCAGUAAGCUGGUCUGAGAGGACGACCCGCCACACUGGAACUGAGACCCGGGCCAGACUUCUACGGGAGGCA
rnacentral:rRNA from 1 species